rnacentral:ncRNA from 2 species
AGAUAGCUCUGGGGGCUGUGUGAUUCAGCACCGGCGGUUAAAGUCCGCGACCUCGUGCUUGCACGAGUUGAAUCGGUGAAAUUCCGAUACCGACGGUUAUAGUCCGGAUGGGAAGAGCCGUGC